CGGAGGAAAAGAAACCAACAGGGAUUGCCUUAGUAACGGCGAGUGAAGCGGCAAAAGCUCAAAUUUGAAAUCGGCCACCAGGUCGAGUUGUAAUUUGUAGAUUGUAUCUUGAGAGCGGAUUAAAGUCUGUUGGAACACAGCGCCUUAGAGGGUGACAGCCCCGUAAAAUCUAUUCUCAUUGUAAGAUACUUUCGAAGAGUCGAGUUGUUUGGGAAUGCAGCUCUAAGUGGGAGGUAAAUUCCUUCUAAAGCUAAAUAUUGACGAGAGACCGAUAGCGAACAAGUACUGUGAAGGAAAGAUGAAAAGCACUUUGAAAAGAGAGUGAAAAAGUACGUGAAAUUGUUAAAAGGGAAGGGUAUUGAAUCAGACUUGGUGCUGUUGUUCAACUGUGUUUCGGCAUAGUGUACUCAGCAGUAAUAGGCCAAGGUGGGGUGUUUGGGAGUGAAAAAGAAGUUGGAACGUAACUCUUGGGAGUGUUAUAGCCUACU
rnacentral:rRNA from 1 species